GACGAACGCUGGCGGCAGGCCUAACACAUGCAAGUCGAGCGCCCUUUCGGGGGCGCGGCGGACGGGUGAGUAACGCGUGGGAAUAUGCCCUUCUCUACGGAAUAGCCUCGGGAAACUGAGAGUAAUACCGUAUACGCCCUGUGGGGGAAAGAUUUAUCGGGGAAGGAUUAGCCCGCGUUGGAUUAGGUAGUUGGUGGGGUAAUGGCCUACCAAGCCGACGAUCCAUAGCUGGUUUGAGAGGAUGAUCAGCCACACUGGGACUGAGACACGGCCCAGACUCCUACGGGAGGCAGCAGUGGGGAAUCUUAGACAAUGGGGGCAACCCUGAUCUAGCCAUGCCGCGUGAGUGAUGAAGGCCUUAGGGUUGUAAAGCUCUUUCAGCUGGGAAGAUAAUGACGGUACCAGCAGAAGAAGCCCCGGCUAACUCCGUG
rnacentral:rRNA from 1 species